rnacentral:rRNA from 1 species
GGUUGCGAUCAUACCAGCACUAAUGCACCGGAUCCCAUCAGAACUCCGCAGCUAAGCGUGCUUGGGCGGAGAGCAGUACUAGGAUGGGUGACCCCCUGGGAAGUCCUCGUGUUGCAACCC